UGUGGGAGCGAGCCUGCUCGCGAUGAGGCCAUGCCAGUCACCAUUGAGGGUGACUGGCAGACCGCUAUCGCGAGCAGGCUCGCUCCCACA
rnacentral:misc_RNA from 1 species